GACAGAGGUGCCAAGCGUUAGGCGGAAUCACUGGGCUUAAAGCGUGUGUAGGCGGGUGCCUAAGUACCUUGUGAAAUCCCCCGGCUCAACCGGGGAACGGCUGGGUAUACUGGGUGCCUUGGGCCAUCUAGGGGCUGCCGGAACAAAUGGUGGAGCGGUGAAAUGCGUAGAUAUCAUUUGGAACGCCAACGGCGAAAGCAGGCAGCUGGGGAUGCACCGACGCUGAGACACGAAAGCCAGGGGAGCGAACGGG
rnacentral:rRNA from 1 species